UACGGAGGGUGCAAACGUUGCUCGGAAUCAUUGGGCGUAAAGCGCAUGUAGCGGUCGGCUAUGUCGGGUGUGAAAGCCCUCAGCUCAACUGAGGAAGUGCGCCCGAAACUGCAGAGCUUGAGUGCCGGAGAGGGUGGCGGAAUUCCCCAAGUAGAGGUGAAAUUCGUAGAUAUGGGGAGGAACACCGGUGGCGAAGGCGGCCACCUGGACGGUAACUGACGCUGAGACGCGAAAGCGUGGGGAGCAAACAGG
rnacentral:rRNA from 1 species